rnacentral:rRNA from 1 species
CCUACGGGAGGCAGCAGUGGGGAAUAUUGCACAAUGGGGGAAACCCUGAUGCAGCGACGCCGCGUGAGUGAAGAAGUAUCUCGGUACGUAAAGCUCUAUCAGCAGGGAAGAAAAUGACGGUACCUGACUAAGAAGCCCCGGCUAACUACGUGCCAGCAGCCGCGGUAAUACGUAGGGGGCAAGCGUUAUCCGGAUUUACUGGGUGUAAAGGGAGCGUAGACGGCAGCACAAGUCUGGAGUGAAAUCCCGGGGCCUAACCCCGGAACUGCUUUGGAAACUGUGCGGCUGGAGUGCAGGAGGGGUAAGCGGAAUUCCUGGUGUAGCGGUGAAAUGCGUAGAUAUUAGGAGGAACACCGGUGGCGAAGGCGGCUUACUGGACUGUAACUGACGUUGAGGCUCGAAAGCGUGGGGAGCAAACAGGAUUAGAUACCCUUGUAGUC